rnacentral:lncRNA from 1 species
UGACGUCUCACUUUAUGAAUGUUUGGGAUAUGCUCUGUGGAGGAUGAUACCACAACAGGCUCACGGUCUGAAGAGCAGCUCGGCCCUCCUGUAAUGAGGAGUGCUGAGGUCAAUUGUGGGGAGGGCUCUCAAGUGCUCCAACAGUCAUCAGGAGCUUUUAUCUGAAUCACAAAGAUACUCCUCUUCUCCACAUCAGGAGAGUUCUUCUCUCCCGCAUCAGAAUGUAAGGUCCCUCUGUCUU